AACGAACGCUGGCGGCAGGCUUAACACAUGCAAGUCGAGCGCCCCGCAAGGGGAGCGGCAGACGGGUGAGUAACGCGUGGGAAUCUACCCAUCUCUACGGAGUAACGCAUGGAAACGUGUGCUAAUACCGUAUACGUCCUUCGGGAGAAAGAUUUAUCGGAGAUGGAUGAGCCCGCGUUGGAUUAGCUAGUUGGUGGGGUAAAGGCCUACCAAGGCGACGAUCGAUAGCUGGUCUGAGAGAAAGAUCAGCCACACUGGGACUGAGACACGGCCCAGACUCCUACGGGAGGCAGCAGUGGGGAAUAUUGGGCCAUGGGCGCAAGCCUGAUCCUGCCAUGCCGCGUGAGUGAUGAAGGCCCUAGGGUUGUAAAGCUCUUUCACCAGUGAAGAUAAUGACGGUAACCGGAGAAGAAGCCCCGGCUAACUUCGUGCCAGCAGCCGCGGUAAAAC
rnacentral:rRNA from 1 species